UGGUGGCGACCGGCGCACGGGUGCGUAACGCGUAUGCAACCUACCUUUAACAGGGGGAUAACACUGAGAAAUUGGUACUAAUACCCCAUAAUAUCAUAGAAGGCAUCUUUUAUGGUUGAAAAUUCCGAUGGUUAGAGAUGGGCAUGCGUUGUAUUAGCUAGUUGGUGGGGUAACGGCCCACCUAGUCUUCGAUGGAUAGGGGUUCUGAGAGGAAGGUCCCCCACAUUGGAACUGAGACACGGUCCAA
rnacentral:rRNA from 1 species